rnacentral:rRNA from 1 species
AGAGUUUGAUUCUGGCUCAGAACGAACGCUGGCAGUGGAUUAGGCAUGCAAGUCGAACGGGACUUCAGCGGUAGAAUAACAUUGAAGUCUAGUGGCGGAAGGGUGAGUAACACACGGGCAACCUGCCUCAAGUUGGGGAUAACACUCCGGAAGGUCGUAAAUACCGAAUGUGGUCGUGGCGCUCAUCAGUCGAUCUAAAGCUGGGGAUCGCAAGACCUGGCGCUUAAGGAUGGGCCCAUGUCCUAUCAGCUUGUUGGUGAGGUAACGGCUCACCAAGGCUUACGGGUAGCUGGUCUGAGAGGAUGGUCAGCCACACUGGGACUGAGACACUGCCCAGACUCCUACGGGAGGCUGCAGUCGAGGAUCAUUCGCAAUGGGCGAAAGCGUGACGGUGCGACGCUGCGUGCAGGAUGAAGGUCUUCGGAUUGUAAACUGCUGUCAUGAGGGAGCAAUGAGCGGUGCCUAAAUACCGCAUCGAAGUGAUAGUACCUCAAGAGGAAGCCACGGCUAACUCUGUGCCAGCAGCCGCGGUAAUACAGAGGCGGCGAGCGUUGUUCGGAUUUACUGGGCGUAAAGGGUGCGUAGCGGGUUCUGCGUGUCGGAUGUGAAAUGCCAUCACUCAACGAUGGAAUGGCAUUCGAAACUGCAGGGCUAGAGUACAGGAGAGGAGAGCGGAAUUCUCGGUGUAGCGGUGAAAUGCGUAGAUAUCGAGAGGAACACCGGCGGCGAAGGGCUUCUCUGGACUGUUACUGACGCUGAGGCACGAAAGCUGGGGGAGCAAACAGGAUUAGAUACCCUGGUAGUCCCAGCCCUAAACGGUGUACACUUGGUGUUGGGGGGAUUGUCCUCUCAGCGCCGAACACGUAACGCGUUAAGUGUACCGCCUGGGGAGUACGGUCGCAAGAUUAAAACUCAAAGGAAUUGACGGGGGCCCGCACAAGCGGUGGAGCAUGUGGCUUAAUUCGAUGCAACGCGAAGAACCUUACCUGGGUUUGACAUGUGGCUGGAUGCCGGGAAACCGGGGAGGCUUUCGAGGCUGCCACACAGGUGCUGCAUGGCUGUCGUCAGCUCGUGCCGUGAGGUGUUAGGUUAAGUCCUGCAACGAGCGCAACCCCUGUGGUUAGUUGCCACGUUCGAUGAUGAAUCGGACAGCACUCUAAUCAGACUGCCUGUGAUAAGCAGGAGGAAGGUGGGGAUGACGUCAAGUCAGUAUGGUCCUUAUAUCCAGGGCUGCACACGUGCUACAAUGAUCAGUACAGAAGGACGCAAAGCCGCGAGGUGGAGCAAAUCCCCAAAACUGAUCACAGUUCAGAUUGGAGUCUGCAACUCGACUCCAUGAAGCUGGAAUCGCUAGUAAUGGCGCAUCAGCUACGGUGCCGUGAAUACGUUCCCGGGCCUUGUACACACCGCCCGUCACAUCAUGGGAGUCGAUUGCACCCGAAGUCACUCAUCCAACCUCACGGGAGGUAGGUGCCUAAGGUGCGAUUGAUGACUGGGAUGAAGUCGUAACAAGGUAGCCGUAGGGGAACUGCGGCUGGAUCACCUCCUUUAU